CCUACGGGAGGCAGCAGUGAGGAAUAUUGGGCAAUGGACGAGAGUCUGAACCAGCCAAGUAGCAUGAAGGAUGACUGCCCUAUGGGUGGUAACUUCUUUUAUAUGGGAAUAAAACAGGGUAUGCAUACCCUCCUGUAUGUACCAAAUGAAUAAGGAGCGGCUAACGCCGGGCCAGCAGCCGCGGUAAUACGGAGGGUCCGAGCGUUAUCGGGAGUUAUUGGGUUUAAGGGGAGCGUAGUUGGAUGGUUAAGGCAGUUGUGAAAGUUGACGGCUCAACCGUAAAAUUGCAGUUGAAACUGGCAGUCUUGAGUACAGGAGAGGUGGGCGGAAUUCGUGGUGUAGCGGUGAAAUGCUUAGAUAUCACGAAGAACUCCGAUUGCGAAGGCAGCUCACUGGACUGCAACUGACACUGAUGCUCGAAAGUGUGGGUAUCAAACAGGAUUAGAUACCCCUGUAGUC
rnacentral:rRNA from 1 species